AUGCCACGGGAGACCACCGCCAUGCCACGCCACGCCACGCCAUGCCCUGCCCUCCCCACAGCCACAGGGCACCAACUCUGCCCAGGCAAACCCGCUCCCGCCUCCCUCUCAGCUUCUUUCGCGCUAAGGGAGCGAAGCACCGAGGCCCAAACGACUCCCGGACCAGACGGUGCUAAUACAGAAAGUACCAUGUUCUACUGUAGUCACCGUGCCCAGCUCUGGAAACAGGCAUAUGACAUUAGGACAGCACCUAUACAUCCCUGGCAGAAGUUUACAGAAAAAUUUUAUGCACAGCAGACAUGGUAAGUUUGUUACUUUGUCAUUUGUUUAUCUAAGCAGUCACAGAGUGACACACACCCCUCUGCAUGUCAAGAGAAAAAAAUACACUGUACAGAAGAUAAGCCAAAGUUCAGUUGUUUGACACUUUCCAGGUUGUCAAUUUUUCCUUGUCCCCCACAAACUAACUACAAGGGUUGCCAAGUACCAUGAAGAUACAUACUCUAAACCUUACAAGAGCUUCCAGUUUUGCAGGAGAUUGCCAAAGCUGUAGAAAAAAAGAGGCCACAUCUGUUCAUCUGGAGUUUGACAAACAAACAAAAUCAAUAAACAAAUGCGCCAGGACUCACAGGAGAACUGCCUGAUUUCACCGGACAUGAGACCAAGGCCUAGAUAAGCAACAAGCCAGUCAGAAAGGUAGUUUAAAAAACUUUGGAAUUAUCUAACUAAGAUGAAUUCCUUAAAAUCUGUUGGUUAUAGCCAACCAGUUCGCCUACUAGACAUAGAAAGGAUGAGGCCAUUAUGCUUUGAAUGAGACCCUUUGCUGGAUGUUGUCUUCACCCCUGGGUUGCCUUUUGGACUAACGCUUAAAAACACGGAGACAGUUAAAAAAAUAUUACUUUUCUUUCUUUGUUAACUAUGUAAACAGAAACAGGAACUCCAUAGCUUCAGAAGUUGGGCUUUAAGCCAUUAAGAGAAGCAGUGGAGGAACAAGUUUAGUCUUGGUUUAGAGUUUUGAGUCUACUUUGCAUCUAACAAAUAUUUGAAAUUCUUGAUAAUUGUGUAUACAACAUUUAAGAACAAAGGGCCUAAUCCUGCAGCCCUUACUCCUCAGAAGGCAACAGAUGCCAAUACUCAAGAUGGCCUUUUUCUUUUAAAAAGGUCAGUAAACAGGAUACAAAGCACAAUUUGCAUGCAGCACUGUAUGACAAUUACAGAAACAUAAUUUCUAAGUCUGCGAAAACUUCAGCAUGUACUCAAGUUAUACAUACAAAGCAAAGAAGUUACCAAUGUCAGUGUGUCUUCAGACUGCAAAUUAUGUCUAAUGGCUUACUGUAGAUGCACAGCAAACUCAUCUUUUCUUGAUAAAUAAAGAAACUGCUGAUCAGCACAGUGAGGAGAGGUAUCUAAAUCAAGGUGAAUGGCCAAGGAAGUGCAGAGGUAUUCUAUGCAGAAUUUAUCUUCUUUGCUUUAAUAGCAGCUUCAAUCUCUUCCAUGAUUGGCACCGGCCCUGCAUAGUUAUUAGUUUCAAUAGCUUCUAAUUUCUUCUGAUAGUCAGCUGGCAAGCCAUUCUGUUUUGCACCCAUGCAGAUAACCUAUAAUCAAAAGGGAAAGGAAAAAAAAAAAAAAAGCCUUCAAUAAUAGUGUUAGGAACGACAGACCCCUCCAAACAUUCACUUGUACGGGAAGAACCGCUUAAGGUAACAAGAGAAUUAAUCCCAAAUAAAGCUAGUUGUACCUAAAGUUAGCAAAAGGCAUCUGGAAGACCACUGAAGACAUUAAUAGCAUCAACAAAAUUACUCUGAAAAGGCUUGUAACUACCAAGGCAUACCCCCAAGACUGAGAUGUUACUAAUGUGCACAAGACUACAGUUAAGCUGCUAUUCAGUUAUUUCAUUCUUUCUUCCAGCAAGGACAAGAACUACUUUUUAUCUCUUUAGCCAGCCUUAGCAUCACAUCUGAGUGAGAAGCAGCAUAUAUUAUUGAAGUUAUUUUUAAAACUAAGCUGUUCAAAUCCAAAGCAUAACAGUGAGUACCUAGACAGGUUAUAGGAGUAACAGAAACAGAUACUUAGCUUAGUGGAAAAAGCACAGAUUCCUU
rnacentral:lncRNA from 1 species